rnacentral:lncRNA from 1 species
CGUGCCCACCAAGGGUUAGGGUAUCAUCGCAUGAAUACGUAGUUACAAUAUCGCCUGAACUCGUAAUUCAUAGUAAGGAGGUUAGAGUAUCAUCGCAUGAAUACGUAGUUACAACAUCGCCUGAACUCAUAAUUCAUCACCACGGGGUUGUCUAUAAUAGUCCGUGGUCGCCAUCUAUACUCUGGUAGAUGACUACAUCUCCAAAUUGUCGGACAAGGUUGUAGUAUCCUACAUCACCGAUUCAUCAUCACCUAUCUAUCCUCACCUAAUUAUCAUCACCUUCCUAUCAUCACCUAUCUCUCAUUAUUUUAUUUCAUCACACACCAACUAUUACAUCUACCCAUGUUUUAUCCCAACAUAUUUGUAGAUAUAAAAUAAAUAUACAGUUUAAAUCAUUUAAAACAUGUAUAAAAUCAUUCAUCCAGCAUAGACAACAAGUAUUCAGAUAAUAUGCACACAUAGCACGUAAUUUAUGUAAAAUACUUCAUAUCUAUAUGUAAGAUGAAAGUAACUAUGGACUCACUUGAUAAGGUGGUGAGUCGGCACUCGGACAACACUUUGUUACUCUUAAAACAAUUAUCCCUUGACGAAACCUAGUAUCAUUACCACUAGAGUUUAGUCUAACGCUUGACGAGACUAAUUUAAUAGUCUAGCUAUUAUUACUAUUAUAUAAGCGUUAAAUAACACUCAAUAUAACUCAUAAUAAUAGCCUAAAUAAUUAUUUUAAGGUCCUAACAAUGUUACNCGGGCUUCGCUGGAGCAGCGUUCCCGAGCCGAAAGGCUGUUUUCUCGGGACUCCGGGAGCCUCAGGGAUUCCUUCAGGUGCUAGGGGGUUUACCUAGACUUUAGGGGGCUUAAGGGGAGCUAGAGAGAGAAAGUGGAAGAGGAAAGGUGUGAAAAUGAAUGGAACCUGGCACAUCUAUUUAUAGUGUGAAAUCCUGAUGACUCGCCGAGUAGGAGGACCUACUCGCCGAUUUGGGGCAUGUGGCAGCCUUCUGGUGGUGCCACGUGUCUAAUUCUGGUGGUGCCACAUCACCCCCUAUCGUGUAUCAGCCUUCAAACUUAGAAAAAUCAUAACUCUCGCAUACGAGCUCCGUUUUUGAUGUUCAUUUUUCAACGCGUAGUUAAAAUCAUGAUCUACAACUUUCAUUUAGACUCCAUCGGCUAAUUCUCGACCGAUCUUAAAUUUAACAGUAGGAGGCGUUUAGACUGUUAAAUGACCGCGAAGAAUUCGUAACUCCUUCAUACGGACUCCGUUUUCAUCCAUAUUUUUACCGUUGAGUUCCUAUUAAUGAGAUCUUCAACUCUCAUUUAGGUCGCGUAAGCCAAAAACCACUCGAACUAAAAUUCGAGUUUCGGGUCGUGCACUGCUAAGCCGAAUCUUAGAAAAAUCAUAACUUCCUCAUACGAAGUCAGAUUUGGGCGUUCUUUUUAUGGAUGUUCUCGGUUUAACAUAUAAUACAACUUUGGUUUAGAUCACUAAGGCUAAAAAUUCCUCUAUCUUAAAUUCACUAUUUACGUCUCCCGGUGUUGUGUCGGUUUUGCCGUAAAACUUCGACGGGCCAUAACUUCUUCGUUAUAACUCGGAUUUCGGCGUUCUUUAUAUGUACGAAAACCUUGUGCCAUAUUCUACAAAUUGGUUAAGCUUAUUUAUUCUAAAUAAUCUUUUGUCGAAAAUUCAUUUUCGACCCCUAUUGCCUCUAAAUUGACUAGCCCGAAUUUGCGGGCGUACAAUUAUCUCCCCCUUAGGAUGAUUACGUCCCGAAAUCAUCAACGAAACAGAGCUCGUAUAAUGACUCCAUAAGUCAUCUCAUCAUCCUAGGUAAUAAUUAUAACUUCUAUAUUCCUUAAAGUCUAUCUCUUAGACACAUUGACUGUAAGCAGUACUCGAUUGUGCACCUACUCUCUACCUCAGGCUAGACUCCAAAUUAUGACCUUCAAGUCACAACCUCGAUCCUCACUGGAUACGAACUUGAGAUAAGUUCUUUUAUUACUACUAUGGAUCGAUGUGUCAUAUUCUAAUGACCUAUCAUCGUAUGUUGCAACGCUUAGACUUAGGUCUCUUAGAGUCAAAUUCCGGAAUGGAAUAUGCCUUCCUUCAUGGUCUAAUGUGAUAUAAUCACAUUUUAACAUGUAGCAUUUCUAGCUACCAGCUUCUUUAACAAUGAGCGCGAUACUUCUAUUGAUCGCUUUGAUUUCAAUCGUUUGGUUUAAGUCGGACGCUACAUCAAACUUGGUUCUCUGAACCACGUAACCUACUCAUCGUAGUCGGACUCAAUGUGAUAUGACCACUAGGGUCGGAAUAACAAUCAUCUUCUUAGUCAUUUACUGAAACGAUGGUAACGACAUUCUUGAAUAAAAACGGAAUCAGUUAUUGGCUUCUUGGUAACCUUGUGACUUUCCCUGAUCCAAGUGUGAGUCCUGUGCUUCCGGUAGUAUAGGCCUCUACUACCAUUCACACCUACUCAUACUCGUCCCAAGUAUUGUCUCGCAGUUUUCCAAGUCACCAUACAGGAAAAUCACAUAACAGUUUAACACAUCAGAUAACAAAACGAAGGUUUUAUUAUUUCUCGAAACUAUUACAUAGGUGUUCAAGUUCACCCUAGACUAUGCCUCUAAUAGGCUACAUCAUAUGAUACUAUGGCUACUACAUAACUUGAUCUUCGGAUAUGAAGUCCUCAUCCUUGAUUCCUCGCAUGGUUUUCUGCUUCGUUGAGGAUCAUGUGGAAUGCCCUUGGUUUUGGCGGUGCAUUUGGUCUUGCUGCUUCGUUUUUUUUGGACAGUCCUUUAAAAUAUGCCCAUUACUUCCACAUUCAUAGCACUUCUUGCUGUCGAAUGUACAAUCUCUAGAAUAGUGACCGGUCCUACCACACUUAUAGCACGUCACUUCUCCAUCGCAUCUUCCGAAGUGCUUCUUCUUGCACUUCUCACACCACUUGGCUCCAUUCCUUCGGUCGUCCAGGUUAGACUUCGAGAACUUUCCCUUAUUACCAGGUCUUGAUGAUCCUUCAAACUUCUUCUUUUCACCAACUUUAGCUUUCUCCAGACCCUUUUCCCUUAUUUAGGUCUCAACAUUCUUGGCUGCCCAGAUGGCAGCUUCCNCAGAUGGCAGCUUUCAAAGUGGUUGCUUGUUUGACCAUUGGACCAAAGUCCGCUGGUAAUCCAUUGGCAAACUUGUUGACCUUGGAAAGUUCCAUUGGAACUAGGUAAGGAACAAGCUUCAUCUUCUCCAUAAAACUUGCAGCGUACUCGGGGACACUCAUUUUUCCUUUCUUUAGGUUCUGAAACUCGUUGUUGAUCUCUAGUAGAUCCUGCUCAGAGUAGUACUGCAUUUUCAGUUGCUUCAGGAAAUCUUCCCAAGACAUCUUGCUUGCUUCUCCCUUGGGCAUCUUAUCUGCCAAAAGCUUCCACCAGCUCAAGACUCCGGUCUUUAGUUGUCUGACCGCAAAGACGGUUUUCUGCUUGUUUCUACAGUCGCAACUCUCAAACACCAUCUCCAUCUCGGAAAUCCAGUCCAUAAUUUCCACAGGCUUCGGGCUCCCUGAGAGACUUGGUGGUCUUGCACUUAAGAAAUUCUUGUACAUUCGCCCAUCCUUGUCGUUUCUCCUCUCCGGGCCAUCCCUUCUUUCACCUUGAGUCCCUACUUGACUCACUUGGCGGCUGUAGUUCCCUUUCUCAGAUUGCUCGGGAAUUGGCUCGGUCGGCUCCGCAUGUAUGGUAGGUUCGUUCCUAUUUUCGUGGAACAUCUAUCUCAUUUCUUCCCUUUGUUCAGCUAGCAUAGGCCGAAUCAUGGCUUGAACUCCAGCCAUGGUGAUUGGCUCGGGUACAUCUUCUACUACGACAGGUAUUUGUUGAAUCACCGGGGGUUGAUUCCUAUUCUCAUUUGCAUUCACGUUUCCGCUACUGGUCCUUGCCAUCUUGAUCUAUACACCGAAUAAGGUGAAUCUAGAUCUUUAUUUAGGAUUGACGUUUAAAUCAUCCUUAUCACUCCGAAACAUUUACAUGCUAGUUCUAAUAUCGUAGUCGUAUGUUUAGAAUCCUAAACACAUAAGGUUUCCAGAUCCGGUCGGCAACAGACAAUAGAUCCGAAUAAAUAACAGCAUAUAAGGCAUAAAGAAUUUAGCACAUAAAAACAUAAUUCCUAAAAUAAGCUAGUGCUCACACCUCACAAUCAUCGCUUAGCAUUCUAAGUUUAAGUCUAGAAAUAAAUCCAUAUUCCUAGUUCGCUUAAACUAAUGCUCUGAUACCAACUGUGACAUCCCCAUUUUCACGGCCAGAAAAGACCGAUUUUGUUUAUGCUUUGUAAAAAUCAGAGUACUUCUUUUCAUAAAAAUGUUGCAGAAUUUGUUCACAGAAAAAUAUGAUAAAUACGUUAUCAAAACAUUUUCGAAGAAACGUAUUUUAUUCAUUUUAAAACGUUUGGGAUGUCAUCGUCAAUACAGGAACAUAAGCAUAAACGGAACUUACAUUUAUUUACACUAGUGAUCUACAUCUCUUUAAUCUCUCAGUGUAAUGUCACUUCAUAUCGACACCUAUGAUAUAAAUAAACUGAGUGGGUCAGGUUGGGAAACCUGGUGAGUAUAUAGGGUUUUCAACCCACAAUAAUAUAAUUAUUAUGUUUAAACAAUCAAACAAUCAACCCAAUUACCCAUCCCCAUUAUCUUCUUUAUUCUUAAGGAUCUACCCUAAGAAUCAGCUAUUUCUCAUUCAUUCAUUCCUAAGGAUCAUCCUAAGGAAACAACAUGAAGUCCAUUGUUGCCAAUGACACAUUGGUCAAGCGCAGCUGCUAAUAUUGUCACUUAGGCUCAGCUGCCAGAAUUAGGACAUUUUCUAUGAGGCGCUUCUGCCGGUAUUGACCUUUAAACACUACUGUCAUGGUCAUAAGGCUCCCUAUUAGGCGCANGUAUCAUCGCAUGAAUACGUAGUUACAACAUCGCCUGAACUCAUAAUUCAUCACCUACAGGUUAUGAGCCUGCUGGUGUUUCCACGGGGUUGUCUAUAAUAGUCCGUGGUCGCCAUCUAUACUCUGGUAGAUGACUACAUCUCCAAAUUGUCGGACAAGGUUGUAGUAUCCUACAUCACCGAUUCAUCAUCACCUAUCUAUCCUCACCUAAUUAUCAUCACCUUCCUAUCAUC